CACUUCCGGGUUACAUUAUUUUAUAAUCCACUAUAUAAGCACGCGGUCUGCAAACACUCCUUGCCAGAUUGUCUCAUCGCGUUACCGAUCGUGUAUGCCUUUCCGGCCUGUAAGUUUCACUUUCAUUUCCCGUGUUGGAUUGCAGCCGGGUGUGUGUCAAACCGUGGAUUUUCCCUUUUGUUAUUUUUUGGGUUACUCAAUUUUGCCUUUGUCGGCCAGAGACCCUUUUUUGUAUUUUUGCUUAUUUCGUUUGUGGAUCAGUCCUAUUUUUCUGACAUUUUGGUGGGAUUUAUUUUUUGUUUUUCCUUCUGUGGACUUAAGGGCCUUGUUGGAUUAUUCAUUUGUUUUCUUCAAGAAUUUUUCCUGGACUCGCUCUUCUUGAUUUUGUUUGUGGAUUCUUCUCUUAGUCUCUUGUUGGAACAUUUUGCUUGGCCUGUUUUUUCUGUGACUAUUUAUUUCUGUGUUGGAUUAUUCCCUGACAUUAUAUACAUUCCCUUAUUAAAUCUAUUUUUUGUGGAAGUCGUAUGUGUUCUGCAUUUUUGGGUCCAUACCCUCCUGCACCCUGACACCUCCUGAAUCCGAGGUUCCCUGGCAUAGACUUUUCCGGGGAGGCUGAGGAGUGUGAUCCCCCUAUAGUCUGUAUAGGAACAUGAAUAGGAACUGUAUAGGAACAUGAAUCUUCGCAGGAACGCAGGACAAAACCCUAAAUCGGUUUUGUCCUGCGUUCUUGCGAAGAUUCAUGUUCCUAUACAGUCCAUACAGUAUACAUAUGUGUUUUCCAGUGAGCACUAAAUUCUGCUUAAUUUCAUCUUAGUUCCCUAGUUCAUCUUAGUGUUAUAUGAUAACCCUGACAACCACCACACAGGUGAAGCCAGCUGAAAUGGAGUUAAAUGUAAUUUCUUGGGAGACUCUGAUGACAGUGAAGAGGAAGGCGCUCCUAAAAAGAGAGCCAGGGGUCCAAGCAAACUCUUAACACAACCACCAGCUCCUGUUAUCUCACCACCACCUUUUACCCCAAGUAGCGGCAUAGCUGCUCCACCUCCACCCAUUUCCCCGCCUCACUGUUCACAGAGACCAGCAGAAGAGCAAAACCCCUUCUGCAAGCAGGGUCUACAGCCCUACCUGGCAGGGGGAAGAUUUGGAUCAGACAGUAUUGCCUGCUCUGGUGAGCAAUACCUCAUUGGAUAUACUCUGCAGAAGUCCACAUAAUGAGCUUGCUGGAAAUAAUAAAACAACAACAAGAGCAAAUCAUGUCUGAAGUAAAUUAUUAGACGAGCAAGUUGAACCCAGCAGGCCAAGACAUGGAAAUGCCUCAUGGAAGUUUCCAUUAACAUCAAUGGAAGAAGUGGAGAAUUUUGAGUAGUGGAUUAAAAAAAAAUCCAGCAAAUAAUAAAACAAAGUUUAGUGUGGCAAGUUGUUUUUCCCAUUAAGGGAAAUAUAUAAUAUAAUCCUAUCUCAUUAAGGUGUAAGUUUACAAUACAUUCUAGCAUUUUCACAGUGUUUUACUGUUAUAGUGCCCCUAUUAUGCUAUUUUAAUAUUUCCUAUUUUAAUUUUGUUCAGAGUCGAUUCAUUCUUUUGGGAGACAAUAACUUUAUUUAUCUUGGAUUUACAAUUUUGCAGAACGUUUACAUUCACAAACAGCUACGUAUGUUACACACUGCAUGAGAGGGAAUAUUAAAAAGCCAUAAUAGGGGCACUUUAAUAAAAUUAUGAUCAUUUUGUUUACAGUGCAUGUUAACCUUGGGGUGUGAAUAAAACAUGUUGUUGUUGUUAUUAUUAUUAUUAUUAUUAUCCUUUUAAGCAAAAAAAUAAUAUAUAUAUAUAUAUAUAUAUAUAUAUAAUCAGCCAUUUUAUAAAUCUUUUGAAUGGUCUGCCAGCCAAUCAGAAAGUCAUAUUGUUAUGCCUAUAAUAAAUAACAGAUUUUUAUUAGAUAUUAGAUGUCCUCCCUAUUGGGGGCCAUGACACCAAAGGUGUCACAUGGAACCUGCUUUCCCGCAUGUCCAUGACGAUGUUGGGAGGAUGAUCAAUUGCAAGGGCAUGAAUGGGAAAAAAAAUAUCUGAUGGAGUCCGAGAAGUUACUACUGUAUGCUGUGAGAAAGAACCAUGUCUCCUGCACCGCCACCGAUGGGGAAAUUACGAAGCAUGUAAUACAGUGGUUCAACCUGGCAGCAGAUAGGGGAAGCUCAAGGAGCCGUCCCAUUGUCAGCAUCUUGACCCAAGAGUAGUGUUUUAUUUUAUGUUCUUUUUCAUUUA